CAGGAAUGGUGCACUUAAUGAGAGACAGCCCUCACAGAACAAAUGCAACAUUUCCUGUGAUUAUCUCCUCGAUGAUGAUAUUGCAGAUGAUGUAAGGUGCCUUAAGAAGGUUAUCACCGAGAAAGGGCUGGAGUAUUGGACACAUUAUCAAGUAAACUGCAGCAGAGGAGCCCUCAGCAUUUUGCAUCUCUCAUGCUCUUAUUUUUUGGAAUAUCAGCCCUGGUUCAAAAACUUAGUAUUGUAUGGGAAGAAAAAGGAAGUCCACAUACAUUUUAAUUAAAAAAGUAACUGGGAAUUCUUUCAUUGUGCUUUAAAUCUCUUCCAAAAAGAAAUAAAAGCCAAUCAAUGAUAAAA